GCGGAAGUAGUUCAGUGGUAGAACACCCGACAGACGAAGCGCUAAAACGUGGGAUUCUGUCGGGGGGUCGCGGGUUCGAGUCCCGUCUUCCGCUCCA
rnacentral:tRNA from 1 species